AAAGUACUCCCUCCGUCCCAAAAUUCUUGUCUUAGAUUUGUCUAGAUACGGAUGUAUCAAGUCACAUUUUAGUAUUAGAUACAUCCGUAUCUAGACAAAUCUAAGACGAGAAAUUUGGGACAAAGGGAGUAGUUG
rfam:Triticum aestivum genome assembly, contig: Triticum_aestivum_CS42_TGACv1_scaffold_470947_6AL